UACGAAGGGGGCUAGCGUUGCUCGGAAUUACUGGGCGUAAAGCGCACGUAGGCGGCUCUUUAAGUCGGGGGUGAAAUCCUGGAGCUCAACUCCAGAACUGCCUUCGAUACUGGAGAGCUUGAGUCCGGGAGAGGUGAGUGGAACUGCGAGUGUAGAGGUGAAAUUCGUAGAUAUUCGCAAGAACACCAGUGGCGAAGGCGGCUCACUGGCCCGGUACUGACGCUGAGGUGCGAAAGCGUGGGGAGUAAACAGG
rnacentral:rRNA from 1 species